rnacentral:lncRNA from 1 species
UUCAUUCCUGACAGUGGUCAGCCUUGAAAGAAAAACUUUGUUUUCAUCACCUGGACUAGAUAGUAAAACUUUGCAGUAGUUCCCAAUUUCCUCCACUGCCUUCUAUUGGAUUUGUCUUGUAGACAAAUAUACCUGUGAAUUUCUAUCUCAUUUGUCUUUUGGAACCACUUUGGAAAAGAAGCAGUUAUGUUAGAAUUUAAGAAAAAGAGGAACAGCAGAGGCAAAGAAAUGGGGAAAUGUCAUCUUUGCAUUGUUUCCAAUCCACCUGCUCCAUUUGGAGAUCAAAUGUUUGAGACAAAAAAUUUGGACAAAUUGUGA